rnacentral:lncRNA from 1 species
AUAAUGCCUAACUUGUAUAUAUUUACACGAAACUGUUGGAUGAUACAAGUUGUAGAAGACUUGAAGAAGAAAUUUGAAAACCCCUACCUAGGCAAGAGAUCUUAGGGCACCCUUCAUCCACUGUUGAGCCCCUUAUUUAUCCAAGUACUGUUUCUUAAUAGGAGAAAGGAAGUCUCUCAGAAACUCCACCGUAGACUUGAGAUUCUUUGUCAUGAAUGGAGCAGAGGUCGCCAGUUGCGAAGGUCCUAUUCAAGUGACUGCU